UCCUAUCUCUCCAAUGUUAAAUUUUUGGUUCAAGUGAUACAGAAUGACGUCAGGGUGAUACAGAGAUACAGAACGGCGUCCAUCUUUGAUUUGAUACAGAUAUUAUCAUCUCUACAGAGGAUGAAAUCCAUAAAUAAAUAUUAUUUGAAUAAUUCUCUAUUAUAUCAGUGUUUAAUGAUAUUUAGAUAGUUUUUAAUAUUGGUUUCAAUUGACCUACAGAUUUUUUGGUUAUUUUUUUUUUUUGACUGAAAAUUGUACUCAACUCAAAAUGAAUUGAGGUUAUGAAAAUAUUAACCAUCGAUAACCAAUUUUUGGAAUUUUUAGUCUGAAUCUAAAUUUAAAAGAGGAAUAGGACAGUUUUUAUCUCAUCUCUCCGAUCAUUUUGAUUUAAAUUAUAUGUGGAAAUAAUUAAAGAAUGAAACUGUUAAUUUGGUAAACAGAUACAGGAAUUUGGAGUUGCUUGGUAUGGAUUGUAAGACACAGAAGAAGACGCAUUUAGAUGUUUUUGGAUCUUGAAUCUUGAUGCUCACAGAAAAGCAAGUCAACCAGACAGGCUCUGAAAAUUGAUGAAAUGGAACAAAUUAUUUGGACAAGACACUAGAAAAAUUCUACUCGGUCGGUUUUGAAAUCAUACCUCAAGAAACUUGCGGGAUCUUCGUCUGCACUGCACUAGCAUUUUAGGGUUUGUUGGAGGCGAACGACAUCCACAACAAUGGGAUAGCGGGGUUCGGGCGCCAACCCGACAGUGACAGUGGUGCACUGCGAGAUCCACCACGGACAGACGGGUGGCUUGUACGGGCUCGGCCAGUUCAUCGACAACCGCAUCCAUUCCCACAGCAACCCCACCGCAACGAGAUCUACAACGGCCAUCAGGGUGGCGUCUUCAUCUUGGGCGAAGGCCGCGGCUUGAUCGAGCAUAACAAUAUCUAUGUGACUCAAUGUGGAUUGUGAAGACACAGAAGGGGACGCAUUUGGAUCUUGAAUCAUGAAUGUUGAAUCUUGAUGCUCACAGAAAAGGAAGUCAACCAGACAGUCGUCGCCGCCGCACCACGAUCACUCGGCGGCAUCCACAUCUAGUGGUGGUGGAUCUACAUGCAAGGAGCAUGCGCACUACCACUGGAUGUGGAUGCUGGAUGAGUUGGGCAACCUCGGCCGCUCCAGUACCAACUGCCCGACCAGGUGUUGCUAACCAUAUUCGGCUACUUGCUGUCGGUUUCAGGGCAUCAGCUCUGUUGGGGCAAACUGAGCCGCUUCGGCGAGCGGGCCAAUAAUUUCAACAUUGUUUCAAUUCCAAGUUGAUUGUUUUGAAUUAAUAUAGUCUACUGUUACAGAGAGACUAUGCCUUUUGAAAAUAUAAACGGUUACCUGAUAAGUACCUUAAUGUGUGUUAUGAAAUAUGAUUGAUAUCCAACUAUUUAAUAAAUUUCUCAAUUUGAAAGAUUCAAAUAAUGAUAUUAUUUCGAUUAUUUACUUGCUCACCAAGUGCAGUUUUCUCGGUGAAAGCUUAAACCGAAUUGGAUCAGCUGGUGUGUUUUAAUAUCAAUUAAACUUAACAUGGAUUUAAUUCAUAUUAAGCCGACAUUUGGUUCAAACUGGUACUGUGAAAACGGCUUUUAAAUCGUUAGAAUUAUUCAAGUAAUUAGUAUGGUGAUUAUUAUCAUAGAAAAAAGAUAUCAUAAGAAGAUAACCCUAUGGUAUAGAUUGUUUAUGUUUCAUUGUGCGUUUUAAAACAGUAAAGAAAAAAGUAUCUCAGGUUUGGCUGAAAUUUGCACCAUAGAUGAAGCUUUAUCUGAGAAAUGUCUGAGCCAAAUUUGGCACCCCCAGCUACUAUACAGGGUGAGUUAUGCAGCUUCAAACGUAAAAUUUGCAAAUUUUCAAACGGUGAGGAAUUUUGCAAAUCGGAUUCCAGAUUCAUGUUCCUCUCAUCAAAGAGCAUAAGGUCACGAAGUUAGAGCGAUUUUGAUUUUUCACAAAAAAAUUAGAUAAACCAUGGAUUUUAUGAAAAAUGCGAAUGUGCCAGAUUCGGUUGAUAUUCGAACUAUGGAAAGAGGUUGACUCAAUAGUGAUAGAUAAAUGUCUUUUAUUUUCAUUUUAUAACAUUACAAAUGAUGUGGGCGAAGUUGAGGCAAUAAGAGCCCCCCUCUUCCACUUGACCCACAAGUAUGGGUCUGUUUGUGUAAAUGGCAGAAGAUAAGAAAAGAUUCAUUGAACAAUUGACAAGUUUACUUGAUAGAAUACUUGACAAUUAUAUAGUCUAAAAUAAGAACUUAGUCAAAAAUAACAGAUUAAACUAGCUGACGUACAAACAACUCUAAAGUAAUUUUUCACUAAGUUACCAAGAGGGAUUAUUAACUAUGGAAUGAGAAAGAAAUCAAUAAAAAUGCUUACUUUCUUAAUCAGAUUUAUUAUAGUUUUUAGUAUAAAAGAUUUUUUUUCAAAGAGCAAAGAAUAAAGAGUUAACCUGAUUUCAAAAACUCAGUCCAAGUAAACUGAAGAUCAGUAGUAAAUUAUACAAGAAAAUUUACAAUAAUCAAAAAUAUAAUAGCUGUAAAUUCUGCUCAAAAUAAGAUCUAGUUGCACGAAAUUUGUUUAAUAACUGAUUAAAUUAUUAGAUUUUUCUGUAUUAGCUGUUAUGCUACUAUAGCGGUGACUGAGGACUCUAUAGAUUUGUUUCUUCAAGUAUUUCAGAAGAAGUUGCUGUUGUGGGCUGUACAGCUCGCUUUCCUGAUAGAUUUUCCUUUGAGAAUCUGAUCUGUUUCAUUUUCAUGAUGGCCUAUGGGCUAUGUGAGAUAAUGGGUUGAUGUUCCAGUAAUUUAACCAUAACUAUUGAACGGUUCAUCAGAGCCUUAUUUUGUAGCAAACGUUGUUGUAUAAUAUAACAUUUUUCUCAUCAUCAUAUACCGUAGUUGAAAAUUUUGUCACUGCAAUUAAUAAAAUCAAACUGAGAGAUUUAAUGCUUCAAAAAAAAAGCAGGACCGCAUCUCUAGUAGAAUUUUCCCUAGUUUUUAUAUCUCUAACUUUUGUUAGCUUCAUAGUAGCUUUGUACGCAUGAGGACCUUUUUUGUAUAAUAUCAAAUUGACUGUUGAGUAACAAGUUCUAAUUACUAACUAAAGUCAAGAGUAAAGAGCUAUUUUAUAGCUUCAAAGAAAAAUUUGAAUCAUAUUCUCAAUGUAGCCUAUUCCUUAGCAAUGUUACCUCAAUAACUUACUUUUGAAAGACUUCUUGUUGAAUAUUUUAGAAAUAUUUCAAGCCAGAACAAGUGAAUAACUUUUCUCCAUUUAUUUCGAUUUUCAAUAUAAUAAUUAUAUACCGUAGUUAGUAGGUAGCUUUUGAAUUUGCCGGUUGAUAACCUAGUUUGAAUUUGCCGGUGAGCCAUCUUGAUAAUGAUGUUUCAAAACCUUUUGAAGAAUGAAGAGUGAAUCUUUUUAUGAAUCAUUCUUUCAAACGUAAUCAAGACAUCAAUCUAUAGUUAUAAAAUUCCUUAUCUAUAAAAAAUCAUUUGAGAACCAUUGAAUGUCGAUAUUUUCUCCAAAUGCAUCAAUCAGAAGUACUUAUAUAUAUUCCCAACUUUUCAAUGAAUAAUGGUAUAAAUCAACUAGAGAAUAUAUUUGAAACUUUUAAAAUCAUCAUUUGAAUAUCAUAAUUCUAUUUUGAUGAUAGAUAUACUUAAUUAUUUUCUAUUAUUUUUUUGCGUUGUGUAGUGGUACGGCUGGCUACCUGCUGUUCAAGCUAAUCAGCUGUUUGAUGCUCAUUAUUUUUUCAACUAUGAAUUGCGUUAAUAGUGCUUCCAAUAAACAGGAUAAUUUGAUACAUCAGAGAAAUAAUUUAAAUAUUCUAUUUGAACGUAUCAAUUGUUAAUACUUAAUUAUUUUUUCAUUAUUAUUUUGCGGUGUGUAGUGGUACAGCUGGUUACCAAAAUCCGUCUCCAUCGAGUUGCUUGGUAUGGAUUGUAAGACACAGAAGAAGACGCAUUUAGAUGUUUUUGGAUCUUGAAUCUUGAUGCUCACAGAAAAGCAAGUCAACCAGACAGGCUCUGAAAAUUGAUGAAAUGGAACAAAUUAUUUGGACAAGACACUAGAAAAAUUCUACUCGGUCGGUUUUGAAAUCAUACCU
rnacentral:sRNA from 1 species